rfam:Cucumis melo, WGS project CAJI01000000 data, contig: 10515
UAAACUUCUAGAAUGAUACAGAGAAAAUUGGAACGAUAUAGAGAAGAUUAGCAUUGCCAGGCGCAAGGAUGACACACACAAAUCGAAAAAUAUAACUUCCAGAA